UUGGCCUGUCAGUUAAAAGGGUUAACAAAAGAUAAUGUGAAAUAUCUCUGUCCAAUUCAAUAUCAUUGCCAAGGAGAUUAUAAUGGGCUGCAAAGAUUAAUGAAUUUGAUGUAAACAGUGUCCUCCCAUAUUUCAGGAGAAACUAUUCAAGGCCCCUCCAAGUACAGAAAGAAACUCAAAGUUUGAGAAAGUCACAGAGAAAAAAAGAAAGAAGAGACUCCAGUAAUACAGCCCUGACUGAAAAGAUGUAACCAGUACUGAAAUAAUUUCCUCCCAAUCCUUUUUCUCAAGCUGCCAGCAAGAUGAGGACACUCUUUCCUGUACAUUAUUUAAAUCUAGCGAAGAAGCCACCUGCUCCCUUCACUUUGAUUUCUCAGAACACCCCAAAUGUUUAUUUCAAGGAGUUCAGGGCCAGCUUAUUUAGGGGGAGACACACAUAUAUAUUCUCCUCUCCUUCUCUUUCUACCCAGUCCCCCCUUAGGACACAGUUAAUGAGUAACUAUAGCGUGCUUGGAGGCAGCUGUUUCAGACAAACCAAAGAGAAGGUUUUUUUGUUUUCUUUUUUUGGAGCUACAUAAGGGAGCAUUUGUUCUGUGGCUUCUCAAUAGAUCCUUGUACAGGAGGCUAAAGAGAGGCGGGAGGCGAAGGAAGAGACACUAAAUCACCCUAACUUCUGGAAUUUUACUGAUAUAUACAUAUAUCCUUUUCAUAAUAGCACCAGACUUUCAAGUCUUAGCUUCUCAUUUAGUCUUAGGUGAACUUCUUUAAAAACCAAUCUCAACUUCUAAAAAGGCUUUAAAUCACAGAGGGAGCUGAAGUACACAGUAUGUACUUGAAAUGUGAUAUCUACCUCUUCCUUAUCACACUACAUAAGAAACUUGAGGUACCCCCAAACUAUCAAACUAUAUUGCUGUAACAGGCUUGUCUGCAUUAUGUACAGUAUAACCUCCAUCAUCCACAACCAACAUGGUAUUUGACAGCUGGAGUGCAGCACUUUGGAGGAGAAUGUCUAUGAAUGUACAGUUCCACCAGGAAACUUUGAGACACUUGAUAAUGCAUGGCAUCA